AUGACUCUUUAUUGGAAAAUAUUCCAUUUCAUUGUCACAUGAAAUCAAAACUGACUGUUUACUUUCUUAAUACACCUUCCUGUACUAUGUUUGGAACAGCAUACUACUAAUACUUUUACUAUUUCUGCAGAACAUAGUAGCAUACUAUGAAUACUGCGCACAGCAUGCAAACUUUCUGUAUGUAUAAAGUACACAGAUGACCUACUACAUGCGCCUUACAUCGAGGUUACAGUGAGGGACAAUGGAAGUGAUUGGGGCCAAUCUUACAAUGCUAAGAUACUCACUGUUUCAAAAGUAUAGCCACAAGACGUACACAAUAUGUGUGUUAACACGAUUUUAGUGAUAAAAUCGCUUACUAACCUUUGCUGUGUUGUGAUAUCCAAUUUGAAAACUCUGUUGCCAUGAUGAUGUAAUGCCAUAAACCCUAAAACCCUACAGAGAUCGUAAAAAACGACGAUUUAAGCAACUCUACAGUUUAAAUAAUACACAAGUUUAACAGAUGAAUUAGUGAGUGCUUUUAUACAAUUAUACGCUUCACAUUUCUGUCUUUAAACCCUCCAAAACAUGGCCCCAUUCACUUCCAUUGUAUGGAAAACAUCUCCUUUUCUGAUCCAUGGAAGAAGGUAAGUGAUGACAUUUUUUGGGUGAACUAUCCCUUUAAAUAUUCAAGGACAUUGUCUAGAUCUUAGUCCUACAGACUGGUUUUAAAACACUUGUGACAGACAUGUUUGAUUUCAUAACACUCCCUGCAGACAGCAGACUGUCAUAAGUGAAGCAGCAGGCCAACGGAGAAGAAAUCAGGGUAACAGGAGCUGCGCCAGCGCUGGUCAUCUGUCUGCUGCUUAACUCACUCCCCACAUCCUGUUUUCAGGCUGAUGUCCAUGUCAACUUACUGAAGAAUUGGUGCUGAAAUGGGCCGUGUGAGGCGGGACGUGGGCACUGUGGCAUUUUUAUCGCCCGCUGCCUUAUACUUCAGCAUAUCCUUGACAAACCCACACUGCAGACAUCAAGCGUUUGGCGUUAAAGACAGAGAGACAUGCAGCCUUGAGACCGACGUCUUGAGUCAAGAGUGGGACCUGCAGGUGGACGGCCUCCACGAAAUAUGAUCUAUAACACACACAGCCGUCUGAUCAGCGACGUCUGGGCCUCCCGGCAGAGGAAACUAAACCUAUUCCCCAACCCCUCACUGCAUAUAACUCACCCGUUCUGAAAUCACCCUCGCUGACCUGUGGCGAAAAACCAGAAGUGAAAGAAAAAACUCCAAAUGCUCUUCAAGGAACACCAUGUUUAAUUAAAAAGGAACUGGUCUCUGAAAUACAAGUGGUAAGGGUUUCACAAGUCAACAAGGAAAAAAAUAGAGCACAAACUGGCACGUCUGGUCGUUUACACUGGUGGGUGGCGGACUUGGUGGGAUAGUUUAUCCAAACAUCUCUGUCAUUUUUAUAUGUCGUUCAAACCUGUAUGCUGCUAUUUUUUUCAGUGUAAAACAAAAGAAGGUAAGUUUGAAGAAUCUAUAACAGGCUUUUCGUUGCUUUUAUUUUUAGUUUAUAGUGAACAUGUAUGUAAUGAGAGUUUUGGCGGACUUGAAUUAUUAAAUAACAACAACUUUUCUGUGCGUUGCCCACACAAAGCUAUCAUACGGUCGAAUGGACUACUUUUGUGGUGCUUUUUUGGUGUUUUUGGCAUUUGAAAGACUUGGUCACUUAAAAUAUUGCUGUACUGAGAGAGUCACAUGAAGAUCCUUUAAUUCUCCUUUCAGUUCCAUGGGGGGAAAAAAAAUCAAAGCAUAUUGGUUUGGAACAACAUGAGGUUGUGUAGAUGAUGACAUUUAUUUUUGGGUGAACUAUCCUUUUAAAAACUACAGGAGGUGUAAUUGUAGGGCAAACGUCUG